UGGGGAAUAUUGGACAAUGGGCGAAAGCCUGAUCCAGCCAUGCCGCGUGUGUGAAGAAGGUCUUCGGAUUGUAAAGCACUUUAAGUUGGGAGGAAGGGCAUUAACCUAAUACGUUAGUGUUUUGACGUUACCGACAGAAUAAGCACCGGCUAACUCUGUGCCAGCAGCCGCGGUAAUAAAGAGGGUGCAAGCGUUAAUCGGAAUUACUGGGCGUAAAGCGCGCGUAGGUGGUUUGUUAAGUUGGAUGUGAAAUCCCCGGGCUCAACCUGGGAACUGCAUUCAAAACUGACUGACUAGAGUAUGGUAGAGGGUGGUGGAAUUUCCUGUGUAGCGGUGAAAUGCGUAGAUAUAGGAAGGAACACCAGUGGCGAAGGCGACCACCUGGACUAAUACUGACACUGAGGUGCGAAAGCGUGGGUAGCAAACA
rnacentral:rRNA from 1 species